AUACGGAGGGUGCAAGCGUUAAUCGGAAUUACUGGGCGUAAAGCGCGCGUAGGCGGUUUAGUCAGUCAGAUGUGAAAGCCCCGGGCUUAACCUGGGAACUGCAUUUGAUACUGCUGAACUAGAGUAUGGUAGAGGGAAGUGGAAUUCCGGGUGUAGCGGUGAAAUGCGUAGAUAUCCGGAGGAACACCAGUGGCGAAGGCGACUUCCUGGACCAAUACUGACGCUGAGGUGCGAAAGCGUGGGUAGCAAACAGGAUUAGAAACCCUUGUAGUCC
rnacentral:rRNA from 1 species